ensembl:lncRNA
UCUACAUGUGUUCUCACACAAGGCUGGCCAGCCUCCAUAUCCCCUAUGGUGUUUGAUAUGCUCUGCCAAGCCUGAGAUACCAUUAAUCCAGUUUGGGAACUUAACCUGACUAUUGUGUCUAGAAGUGGAAGCUGAUUUGGAUUAGAUAAAGUCAUCAUGGUGGAGCCUCACGAUUGAAUACUGGUGGCUUUACAAGAAAAGAGAGACCAUAGAGUCUAGACCCAAGUGCAUGGUCCUUGUUUAUAUCAUUUGAUUUGGGACUCUGCCAGGAAAAAGGCCAUUACGUGAUGUACAUCCUUGAACCUCCAGAACUGAACCUGUAUAAUGCAACAGCAACAAAAUGAAAUGAUCCAGUUAAGAAACUAUUUCCAGAGAAUACACAAAAAUGGAUGUAUGAAAAGGAGUUCAACAUCACUAAUCAUCAGGGAAUGCAAUUCAAAAUGCUCAAUCACCUACCACAUUACACCUGUUAGGAUGACUGUUAUUAAAAAGAUAAGAGGUAGAAAGUUUUGAUGAGGC